rnacentral:siRNA from 1 species
UCAACACUUCCAGGUGGUGGC